UGGACUCCAACAGCUCUAAUUUGGAUCUUGUCUCUUAAUUUUGGAUAUUGAGUGAUCAACUGAAGAUGAGGUCACUAGCACCGGCCCUAAUCUAAUCUGACUGUUCUUCUAAAAGGGGAAAAUUUGGACAAAGACAUACACAGGAAGAAUGCCAUGUAAUGGUGAAGGCAGAGCAGGAAAUAUCACUGCAGGUAGUUUGAUCUCAAAUUGUCAGCCUCCAGGACCACAACACUAAAUUUCUGUCGUCUAAACCACAAGACUUGAUAAAGAUGUGAUGACUGGAGCUGCAUUGGCUAUUUUAAAGCCAGUACGUAAAGACUGAGCUAAAGAGACACUCGGACUUAGUUGAGCUUUUGAGACGUUACUAGCA